GCCUGGGUAGCUCAAUGGUUGAGCGUCUGCCUUCAGCUCAGGUCGUGAUCACAGGAUCAUGGCAUUGAGUCCCAUAUCGGGCU
rnacentral:tRNA from 1 species